UUUCCGUAGGUGAACCUGCGGAAGGAUCAUUACCGAGUGAGGGCCCUCUGGGUCCAACCUCCCACCCGUGUUUAUCGUACCUUGUUGCUUCGGCGGGCCCGCCGCAAGGCCGCCGGGGGGCAUCUGCCCUCUGGCCCGCGCCCGCCGAAGACACCAUUGAACGCUGUCUGAAGAUUGCAGUCUGAGCAAUUAGUUAAAUACUUAAAACUUUCAACAACGGAUCUCUUGGUUCCG
rnacentral:misc_RNA from 1 species